rnacentral:rRNA from 1 species
UACGUAGGGAGCAAGCGUUGUCCGGAAUCAUUGGGCGUAAAGCGCGCGUAGGCGGCCCUGUAAGUCCGUUGUGAAAGUCAAAGGCUCAACCUUUGAAAGCCGAUGGAUACUGCAGGGCUAGAGUUCGGAAGAGGCGAGUGGAAUUCCUGGUGUAGCGGUGGAAUGCGCAGAUAUCAGGAAGAACACCCGUGGCGAAGGCGGCUCUCUGGGACGGUACUGACGCUGAGACGCGAAAGCGUGGGGAGCGAACAGG